rnacentral:rRNA from 1 species
CAGUAGCCGCGGUAAAACCAGCAGCCCAAGUGGUGGUCGCGAUUAUUGGGCCUAAAGCGCUCGUAGCCGGGCCGGUAAGUCCCUUGUGAAAUCGGACGGCCUAACCGUUCGGCGUGCAAGGGAUACUGUCGGUCUUGGGGCCGGGAGACGUCCGAGGUACUCCGGGGGUAGCGGUGAAAUGUUCUGAUCCUCGGGGGACCACCGGUGGCGAAGGCGUUCGACGAGAACGGGCCUGACGGUGAGGGGCGAAGGCUAGGGGAGCAAACGGGAUUAGAUACCCCCGUAGUCCCUGUCUCUUAUA